rnacentral:rRNA from 1 species
AGAGUUUGAUCAUGGCUCAGGGUGAACGCUGGCGGCGCGCUUAAUGCAUGCAAGUCGAGCGUGAUCGUGGCUUCGGCCACAAUGAUAAAGCGGCAGACGGCUGAGUAACGCGUGAGUAAUCUGCCCUCCGGUGGGGUAUAGCCUCGGGAAACUGAGGAUAAUCCCGCAUACGACCUGCAUCCCUUGGGGUGCAGAUGAAAGGCUUCGGUCGCCGGAGGAGGAGCUCGCGUCCUAUCAGGUUGUUGGUGAGGUAAUGGCUCACCAAGCCGAUGACGGGUAGCUGGUCUGAGAGGAUGACCAGCCAGAGGGGGACUGAGAACGGCCCCCACUCCUACGGGAGGCAGCAGCAGGGAAUCUUGGGCAAUGGGCGCAAGCCUGACCCAGCGACGUCGCGUGGGGGACGAAGGCCUUCGGGUUGUAAACCCCUUUUCCGAGGGAAGAUACAAGACGGUACCUCGGGAAUAAGCCCCGGCUAACUACGUGCCAGCAGCCGCGGUAAUACGUAGGGGGCAAGCGUUACCCGGAUUUACUGGGCGUAAAGUGCGCGUAGGCGGUUGGAUAAGUCUCAUGUGUAAUCUCCCCGGC